CCUACGGGAGGCAGCAGUGAGGAAUAUUGGUCAAUGGACGAGAGUCUGAACCAGCCAAGUAGCGUGAAGGAUGACUGCCCUAUGGGUUGUAAACUUCUUUUAUAUGGGAAUAAAAUGUUCCACGUGUGGGAUUUUGUAUGUACCAUAUGAAUAAGGAUCGGCUAACUCCGUGCCAGCAGCCGCGGUAAUACGGAGGAUCCGAGCGUUAUCCGGAUUUAUUGGGUUUAAAGGGAGCGUAGGUGGAUUGUUAAGUCAGUUGUGAAAGUUUGCGGCUCAACCGUAAAAUUGCAGUUGAAACUGGCAGGCUUGAGUACAGUAGAGGUGGGCGGAAUGCGUGGUGUAGAGGUGAAAUGCUUAGAUAGCACGAAGAACUCCGAUAGCGAAGGCAGCUCACUGGACUGCAACUGACACUGAGGCUCGAAAGUGUGGGUAUCAAACAGGAUUAGAUACCCUGGUAGUC
rnacentral:rRNA from 1 species